CACACUGAUGAUGGAUCAAAGGAAGAAUUCCAUUGAAGGAUAGCUUCAUAAACCAGCAAUUGUACUGGGGCAUGGGUGAGGGCCGCUUUCAGGAAUCAAUUGCUCACUGCUCACAUAACCUUGGGGAAGGACCUUGAGAACUGCAGGAGUCGCUGAGCAUGGGAACCUUCCAAGUUUGAUUAGUUUCCUCAGAGCCAUCCUUCUGCCAGCAGAGAAUGUUGUAAUUCCCAGGCAAUUACAGCAGAAAAAUGACUCGGAAACAUGGAGAAGAGUGCCAGAAGCAGCUAUUUGCAGAGCUCCUUAGCUGUGGCUGGGACUUCGUUCUGGGAUGCUGAUUGGCUUGAGCUUGUGGAGGUCUUAUGCACACUGCUGCAACUGCUGCAUGUUCACGUGAGUAACAGCCCUGCGGCGUUUAGAGAACAUUGUUUUGUUGUAGUGUAGAAGCCCACGGAAGUGGGUCUGCUCCACCUUGACUGGAGGUCAGAGAGUCAGUCAGGCCUAUUCUUGCUCCUUUAUGGUUAUUGACAAGAGGUUUGACUAAGGUGUGGCUACUAACAGGAUGUCUUGACCUAGGGUGUGGUCACUUGGUGCUUUGGGUAUUAAGAUGGCCCAUAGAAGUGAAUCCAUCCCACCUUGACCAAAGGUCAGAGUUCAGGCAUAUUCCUGCUCCUUCAAGGAUAUGACAGGAAGUUUGACCAAGGAGUGGCUGUCUACAGGAUGCUUGGCCUAAGGUGUGGUUGCUGCAGAUCCUGCCCAAACAACAGAACAUUUAACUCAGGGAAUAACUGCUUGAUGCUUCAGGUAUAUUGAAUAGGCAAUUGCCCUGUUUGUUCUUUGAAUCAUGUUAAAUCAGUCUUUUGCCUUCUUGCCCCCACCCUCAUUUUUGGAUUGAGGUAUAUAAGCAUAUGGAAAAUAAAUGCGGGCAAAUUCAGUAUUCACUGAAUUGCCACUCUCACCCCAAUUCUACUCUGUGUCUUUGUCUAUUUCUUUUGUAUCUCUGUUCUGUCUGCCUGGUGUUUCUAAUCCACACACCCCCUACCCUGGAAUGUGCAAAUCCUGUCAAGGUUGGACCUAGACAUUGUAGCUGCUCACUGCCUUUGGCACUUACAAUCUUCUGCCUUCUCUUCCUCCUUCUUCCACUUGCUAUGAUUCACAAGCCUUUGGAGGAAGGGGUAUCAUAGAUAUCCCAUUUAGGGUGAGCAGGCCAUAGUCUCUUAUUCUCUACACUUUGGUCCAGUGUGAAUUUCUGUAUCAAUCUUCAUCUACUGCAAAAGGAAGCUUCUUUGAUGAGGGGGGAGAGAUGCACUGAUCCUUGGAUGUAAUGACAAGU